UACGAAGGGGGCUAGCGUUGCUCGGAAUCACUGGGCGUAAAGGGUCUGUAGGUGGCCAACUAAGUCAGACGUGAAAUCCCUCAGCUUAACUGGGGAACUGCGUCUGAUACUGGAUGGCUUGAGUGUGGGAGAGGAAUGCGGAAUUCCAGGUGUAGCGGUGAAAUGCGUAGAUAUCUGGAGGAACACCGGUGGCGAAGGCGGCAUUCUGGACCAUAACUGACACUGAGAGACGAAAGCCAGGGGAGCAAACGGG
rnacentral:rRNA from 1 species